rnacentral:lncRNA from 1 species
GCCUUUUACAUAACAGCAGCAUGGGGUGUGAGCAGUGCACGCUCCCCUCCCACAGCUCCAGUGGGGCUGCAAUGAUCGCAGUGAUUCUCAAAGCCCGCAGCGCUGGGAUUGCUUGUGAUAAAGCCAGCUUUGUGAGCUCAAAGGAACUGCGGCUCAGGGCAGCCCACGCCCUCCUGCACUGCUCUUCCCAGCUGGCAGCAGGCCGUGUCCUGCUCGUGUCCCGGGGAAAUCCGAGCUGCGUGGAGCACCAGGAGCAUGAUGCCAUUCUCACAGCCUGCUGGAGUCCAGCUGCAGCACAAGAGUAUAAAGGGCCGCCCAGAUUCACUUACCGACAGCCACUCCCUUUCUGCCAUGGAGGAGUGAACAGUGAGCAGUACAGAGCUGAGUCCUCUCCCCCAGGUUUGGUUAACACUUCCUCCGCUGCAAUCCAGGCUGAAUUCUGCCUCAACAAGGAGGCAGAUGCUGUAGCAGAAUAUUAUUGUC